rnacentral:rRNA from 1 species
GAUGAACGCUGGCGGCGUGCCUAAUACAUGCAAGUCGAGCGAACAGACGAGGAGCUUGCUCCUCUGACGUUAGCGGCGGACGGGUGAGUAACACGUGUAUAACCUACCUAUAAGACUGGGAUAACUUCGGGAAACCGGAGCUAAUACCGGAGAAUAUAUUGAACCGCAUGGUUCAAUAGUGAGAGACGGUUUUGCUGUCACUUAUAGAUGGUUCCGGGCCGUAUGAGCUGGUUGGUAAGGUAACGGCUUACCACGGCGACGAGGCGUAGCCGACCUGCGAGGUGGAUCGGCCACACUGGAAGUGAGACACGGUCCAGAGUCCUACGGGAGGCAGCAGUAGGGAAUCUUCCGCAAUGGGCGAAAGCCUGACGGAGCAACGCCGCGUGAGUGAUGAAGGUCUUCGGAUCGUAAAACUCUGUUAUGAGGGAAGAACAAAUGUGUAAGUAACUAUGCACGUCUUGACGGUACCUAAUCAGAAAGCCACGGCUAACUACGUG